rnacentral:piRNA from 1 species
UAAGAUAUUUCUGGGUAAGAAUAUGGAAC